CUACGGGACGCACCAGUGGGGAAUAUUGCACAAUGGAGGAAACUCUGAUGCAGCAACGCCGCGUGGAGGAUGACACUUUUCGGAGCGUAAACUCCUUUUAUAUAGGAAGAAGAUGACGGUACUAUAUGAAUAAGCGCCGGCUACUCCGUGCCAGCAGCCGCGGUAAUACGGAGGGCGCAAGCGUUACUCGGAAUCACUGGGCGUAAAGAGCGUGUAGGCGGAUUAAAAAGUCAGAAGUGAAAUCCUAUAGCUUAACUAUAGAACUGCUUCUGAAACUCUUAAUCUAGAAUAUGGGAGAGGUAGAUGGAAUUUCUGGUGUAGGGGUAAAAUCCGUAGAGAUCAGAAGGAAUACCGAUUGCGAAGGCGAUCUACUAGAACAUUAUUGACGCUGAGACGCGAAAGCGUGGGGAGCAAACAGGAUUAGAUACCCGGGUAGUC
rnacentral:rRNA from 1 species